rnacentral:rRNA from 1 species
CGCUGGCGGCGUGUUUAAGACAUGCAAGUCGCACGGUAUCAUUUGUGUAGUAAUACUCGAAUGGUUCAGUGGCGCACGGGUGAGUAACACGUGAAUUACAUGCCCUUUAGAGGGGGAUAGCCCAGGGAAACUUGGAUUAAUACCCCAUGGUCUCGCAAGAGUAAAGGUGGCCAGCAAUGGCUGUCGCUAAAGGAUUGGUUCGCGUCCUAUCAGCUUGUUGGCGGGGUAACGGCCCACCAAGGCUACGACGGGUACCUGGUCUGAGAGGACGAUCAGGCACACUGGAACUGAGACACGGUCCAGACACCUACGGGUGGCAGCAGUCGAGAAUAAUUCACAAUGGGGGCAACCCUGAUGGUGCAACGCCGCGUGGAGGAUGACGGUCUUCGGAUUGUAAACUCCUGUCAUCUGGGAGUAAGACCUGGUCGUUAAUAGCGGACAGGGUUGAUAGUACCAGAAGAGGAAGGGACGGCUAACUUCGUGCCAGCAGCCGCGGUAAUACGAAGGUCCCGAGCGUUGUUCGGAAUCACUGGGCGUAAAGGGAGCGUAGGCGGUGCGGUAAGUCAGAUGUGAAAUCCCGGGGCUCAACCCCGGAACUGCAUCCGAUACUGCCGUGCUAGAGGAUUGGAGAGGUAGCUGGAAUUCUUGGUGUAGCAGUGAAAUGCGUGGAUAUCAAGAGGAACACUCGUGGCGAAAGCGAGCUACUGGACAACUCCUGACGCUGAGGCUCGA